UACAGAGGUCCCGAGCGUUGUUCGGAUUCAUUGGGCGUAAAGGGUGCGUAGGUGGCGCUGUAAGUGGGGUGUGAAAUCCCGGGGCUUAACCCCGGGACUGCAUUCCAUACUGCAGUGCUUGAGGACUGGAGAGGAGACUGGAAUUUACGGUGUAGCAGUGAAAUGCGUAGAGAUCGUAAGGAAGACCAGUGGCGAAGGCGGGUCUCUGGACAGUUCCUGACACUGAGGCACGAAGGCCAGGGGAGCAAACGGG
rnacentral:rRNA from 1 species